GAUGAACGCUGGCGGCGUGCCUAAUACAUGCAAGUCGAGCGAACGGACGAGAAGCUUGCUUCUCUGAUGUUAGCGGCGGACGGGUGAGUAACACGUGGAUAACCUACCUAUAAGACCGGGAUAACUUCGGGAAACCGGAGCUAAUACCGGAUAAUAUUUUGAACCGCAUGGUUCAAAAGUGAAAGACGGUCUUGCUGUCACUUAUAGAUGGAUCCGCGCUGCAUUAGCUAGUUGGUAAGGUAACGGCUUACCAAGGCAACGAUGCAUAGCCGACCUGAGAGGGUGAUCGGCCACACUGGAACUGAGACACGGUCCAGACUCCUACGGGAGGCAGCAGUAGGGAAUCUUCCGCAAUGGGCGAAAGCCUGACGGAGCAACGCCGCGUGAGUGAUGAAGGUCUUCGGAUCGUAAAACUCUGUUAUUAGGGAAGAACAUAUGUGUAAGUAACUGUGCACAUCUUGACGGUACCUAAUCAGAAAGCCACGGCUAACUACGUGCCAGCAGCCGCGGUAAUACGUAUGUGGCAAGCGUUAUCCGGAAUUAUUGGGCGUAAAGCGCGCGUAGGCGGUUUUUUAGUCUGAUGUGAAAGCCCACGGCUCAACCGUGGAGGGUCAUUGGAAACUGGAAAACUUGAGUGCAGAAGAGGAAAGUGGAAUUCCAUGUGUAGCGGUGAAAUGCGCAGAGAUAUGGAGGAACACCAGUGGCGAAGGCGACUUUCUGGUCUGUAACUGACGCUGAUGUGCGAAAGCGUGGGGAUCAAACAGGAUUAGAUACCCUGGUAGUCCACGCCGUAAACGAUGAGUGCUAAGUGUUAGGGGGUUUCCGCCCCUUAGUGCUGCAGCUAACGCAUUAAGCACUCCGCCUGGGGAGUACGACCGCAAGGUUGAAACUCAAAGGAAUUGACGGGGACCCGCACAAGCGGUGGAGCAUGUGGUUUAAUUCGAAGCAACGCGAAGAACCUUACCAAAUCUUGACAUCCUUUGACAACUCUAGAGAUAGAGCCUUCCCCUUCGGGGGGCAAAGUGACAGGUGGUGCAUGGUUGUCGUCAGCUCGUGUCGUGAGAUGUUGGGUUAAGUCCCGCAACGAGCGCAACCCUUAAGCUUAGUUGCCAUCAUUAAGUUGGGCACUCUAAGUUGACUGCCGGUGACAAACCGGAGGAAGGUGGGGAUGACGUCAAAUCAUCAUGCCCCUUAUGAUUUGGGCUACACACGUGCUACAAUGGACAAUACAAAGGGCAGCGAAACCGCGAGGUCAAGCAAAUCCCAUAAAGUUGUUCUCAGUUCGGAUUGUAGUCUGCAACUCGACUACAUGAAGCUGGAAUCGCUAGUAAUCGUAGAUCAGCAUGCUACGGUGAAUACGUUCCCGGGUCU
rnacentral:rRNA from 1 species